CGCGGCCUAUCAGCUUGUUGGUGAGGUAACGGCUCACCAAGGCAUCGACGGGUAGCUGGUCUGGGAGGACGAUCAGCCACACUGGGACUGAGACACGGCCCAGACUCCUACGGGAGGCAGCAGUGGGGAAUCUUGCGCAAUGGGCGAAAGCCUGACGCAGCGACGCCGCGUGGGGGAAGAAGGCUCUCGGGUCGUAAACCCCUUUCAGCAGGGACGAAAAUGACGGUACCUGCAGAAGAAGGACCGGCCAACUACGUGCCAGCAGCCGCGGUAAUACGUAGGGUCCAAGCGUUGUCCGGAUUUAUUGGGCGUAAAGAGCUCGUAGGCGGUUUGGUAAGUCGGGUGUGAAAACUCAGGGCUCAACCCUGAGACGCCACUCGAUACUGCCAUGACUAGAGUCCGGUAGGGGAGUGUGGAAUUCCUGGUGUAGCGGUGAAAUGCGCAGAUAUCAGGAGGAACACCGACAGCGAAGGCAGCACUCUGGGCCGGUACUGACGCUGAGGAGCGAAAGCAUGGGGAGCAAACAGGAUUAGAUACCCUGGUAGUCCAUGCCGUAAACGUUGGGCACUAGGUGUGGGUCCCAUCCAACGGGAUCCGUGCCGCAGCUAACGCAUUAAGUGCCCCGCCUGGGGAGUACGG
rnacentral:rRNA from 1 species